GGGUGCGAUCAUACCAACACUAAUGCACCGGAUCCCAUUAGAACUCCGCAGUCAAGCGUGCUUGGGCGAGUGUAGUACUAGGAUGGGUGAACUCCUGGGAAGUCCUUGUGUCGCACCCC
rnacentral:rRNA from 1 species